UUAGUUGGGUGGCUCCCAUUAAACUUUCUCUUGCAUUGGGAACGGUCUUGUUGUUAGACUCCACCUGUAGUAAGUGGGUUCGAGCAUGCGUAUGGUUACAUUUGGGCAACCCCUGCAGGGUGUACAUCUUAUCGAUAAGCCAUGUCCACGGUUAUGGACGACUUGGAAUUGUAUGGCUUGAUCAUAGAACAACUUGCACCUUAUACUUGUUGUUAAUAAUCUGAUAAUAACUUGAUUAGUAAUAUAACAUUACUACAACCGCUACCUAAUAAAACUUGUCCACCGUUGAGUGCCUUUUACAUUGCCUCUUCGCUUUGUUGGAGGGGAUAUGUGUAAUUGGCUGGGUUAUGUUUGUGUAGUAUUUAACUGUUACCUUGUGCGCUCUCUUAUCUUCUCUGAGUAGACGGAUGAUGUAGCGUGUCUCUAUUGGAUAGUAGCUUUGCUGCCGCUAAACUCCACAUAUAGCCGGGUGAAGUUUAUACCGCCCACCAGCGAGCAUAGCUGGUCUUGUCUCGCAAGUACGUGCCAAUGGUACUUACCCUCGCCUUCCUUUCUUUUUGUCUCCUCCCCCUUUUGUCGGCAACCGAUGGCCCGACUUUGACAGGUACGAGAUGACGACGUUAGCAAGGUUACCCUUCCGGCUUGGCCUGGGCAGGGUUAUGGACGUCACUGGUUAUCUUCAGGACUCUUAGUCCAAUUUGUAUCUUGUCCGUACUCGGAUGUAUUUGAUCUUCUGUAUGAUUUGGAUCUUUGUAUGUAUCUAUUUGUAUCUUGACUCGUUGGAGUCGUUGUUGUAUAUAUGUAUCUUGUGGGCUCUAUUGUAAUCCUGUUGUAAUGUUA